rnacentral:rRNA from 1 species
UGAGGAAUAUUGCGCAAUGGGCGAAAGCCUGACGCAGCAACGCCGCGUGGGGGACGAAGGCCUUCGGGUCGUAAACCUCUUUUCUGGGGGACGAGUAAGGACGGUACCUCAGGAAUAAGUCUCGGCUAACUACGUGCCAGCAGCCGCGGUAAAACGUAGGAGGCGAGCGUUAUCCGGAUUUACUGGGCGUAAAGCGCACGCAGGUGGCUUCGUAAGUCGGACAUGAAAGCUCCUGGCUUAACUAGGAGAGGUUGUUCGAUACUGCGGGGCUUGAGGUUGGGAGAGGGACGUGGAAUUCCCGGUGUAGUGGUGGAAUGCGUAGAUAUCGGGAGGAACACCAGUGGCGCAAGCGGCGUCCUGGCCCACACCUGACGCUGAGGUGCGAAAGCGUGGGGAGCAAACA